rnacentral:lncRNA from 1 species
UUUGGAUGUUUGGUGUUCCAUUUGAACUAGUUUGAUUUGUUUUGUGCAUAAAAGGAACAUGAUGAAUGAUAUGGACAUGGGACUAAUUGUGUUGGCUUUUGUUUGACAUUAAUUUGACUUUGGUUGGAGAUACCUUGCUGUUUAGGAAUUUUUCUUGCCUUUGGACCCUAGGCUUGGCCUAGUGGUCUAGUUUCUAACAUUUGAUUGAUUUUUCAGGAUGAAAAGGUG